GGGGGGGGGCAAUGCGCGGGAAGGGGCGGGGCUUCCGCCCAGGCGCUUCCUGUCCUGCCCGUCUCCCCGGCAACGCGGCCUUCCCGCUCCCGGAGGGCCCUGAAGCCGGGAGGGCUCGCGGGAGCCCCCACCCCAGACCGGGGCUCUCUCCCCCCGCCGGCGGACAGGGGAGUCCCCGGGGGCGGGGGUCCGCAGUCCCUCGUUCCCGGCCGGCCCAGGCGGCGGGGCUCCCGGCUGGAGAGGGCUGCACUGGGCGAGCGAGGCCGGAAGGGGAGUUUGGGUUUUUUUCCCCCUGAUUCUGCUUGAAGAAACGGCGGAGGUUUUCGGCCUCUGCUGCCUCCUCUUCCUCCUCCGAAGGCUUCGCCGCCGCCCCGGGAUUCAUUCUGGCUUUCCGGCGCUCCAGGCCCCGAGGGAUAGUCUGGCGGUUUCAGGAUUAGCUCCGAAUUGAGCCCCUAAAAAGCUAGAAGUGCUCAAUUCCUUUUCGUCUUUCAAAGCAAGAACUGGGAAAGCCUGGAGCAAUCGGGGUUUAGUUCCGCAGCUGAGAGUUAUUUCUGAUCAAACUGCCUUUGGAAAAACGAGGAGGUUUCCGCAAAAGCCAAAUAUAAGGAAGAACAAGGGCAUCUAUAAUCUCAGAAUCGAAAUUUGUCCAUUAAUAUUAAAAUUUAACUGUUAUUAGCCAUACAAGAGAAUCUGCAAAUCGUAGUAAAAUGGCUCUGAAUUUCAGUAUUGUGAGAUGGAACAGAUGCUAACAUUUGGAGAGAGGAGGAAUAUUUCUUUGUGGGGUGGCCUGUAACUUUUUAUAUUUCGUUCUUGUUUUAUUGCAGGGGAAAUAAUUGGUUAGCCGCUGAGUGCUUUUACAAUGGAAAAAUAUGAGUCAGCAACUAUUGCAAAAAGUUACAAUUCUCAGUUUGUAAAAUAUGUCAAACCUAUUUUCAGCAAAUUAAAAACAAUACUACAUCUGAAAUGCGUCUUUGCUGUGGAAUGCUCAUCCUAUUUGAAUGGUUAUUUCUUGGAAAUAUAUAUGCACUGUUACCUUUUAAGAAUUGUGGGAGAUGCGCUUUCAAGAAGCUGGCUAAGGAUUAUGCAUUGUCAAAUCAGGAAUUACAGAAAUACUACAAACCUGUUUUAGAGCGGCAAGAAACAGCUCAUCUGUUUAUAGCACCAAUCAAUAAAAUGGAUGCAUAAUAUGAAACCAGGUGUUACUGGAGAAGAUCUUGAUGCCUAGAAGACUUGACAAUUGAAAAAGAGGCCACCAAGAGACAAGGUGUGCUAGAUACUGUCACAAGAACUCAGUGACAGUCCUGGCAAAAGGAUGUCCAUCAGGUCAUGAAGAAUUGAAAGUACCUGAAUGACUGAAGAACAUAAAGCUGUUCUAAGACAUCAUAGCCCUCUCUAAAAAUAGCAAGCAUUCCUUGCUCAAUAAUGGUCAUGAUGGUGACUUGCAUUUCUCUAACCCAGGGGUAGGCAACCUUUGGUCUUUUGUGACUUGUAGACUUCAACUCCCAGAAUUCCUGAGCCAGCCAUGCUGAGGGGAAAAGGAGCCAUGCUGGCUCCGGAAUGAAGUCCCCGAGUCAUAAAAGAGCCAAGGUUGCCUAUCCCUGCUCUAACCAGUUUUGCUAAUGGACCCUCACUUGGAAUGGAGAUCCCGUAUAGCGGGCUGAAUCCUGAAAAUCAUUUUGACAGUUGUGCAUACAGGGCAGUAGUGAUGGACUAUUCUUGACUCUCCUUGCACAAUUCUAUACAAAUAUUUGCAAGGGCAUUUCGCUUUGUGAUAAUGUUUCUGAUCUGUCUGGUUCACGUUGACUUAAUUUGUGUGCUCAGAGCCUCUGCGUGGUUAAUAAUAGAGAUCCUCAUAAAUCCAUCCUCUCAAAAAGAAUAAAUAAUCCCACCCGUAAGAUACAAUGUCGUGCAUUUGCUACGUUCUGCUUUUUGGUCACCCCUCACUCUCCUCCUGUGUUUGAGGGAACCACCAGGUCUUGGCAGCUCUCCUGAAAUCCAGGAGGAAAGGAGCAAACUGGAUCUCCUAGGUAUAGGGAGGUGGAUCCAGAAGGUCUGUUUUGUGACACCUUUGUGUGGUGGUCUGACUGAACUGGCAGAUGGAUAUGGGAGAAGAUGGCUCCUUAGUGAGGACCUAAGGUGCUGCCAGCCAGCAUCUUGAAUGGCAUCCAGGAACCCGGCCGACAACCCUGAAGUGGUGGUUGGACACAGGAUGCAGGGAAUUUCUUGGGAUUCGCCCACAAUGCCCCUGCGACGGUUGCGUCUUGUAUCACUGGGAGUGCCUUCCAGGGAAAACCCCGACUGGGGCACCUAACAGAGGGUCCCAUUUGGGGAGCGUGGCCCCUUCCUGCCAUUGCUGGUCUGUGAUGAAUAGCCCACUGCGCAAUCCGAGUUCUGUGUGGAACUGAAUGACGAAAUUUGUGCUGACAAAGGCCUCUGAGACCAAAGCUCUGGUAGCCCCGUAGUCUUUCCUUGGUUGCUGGUGCACAGAGCCCAAGGCACCGAACGAAGGUCCAAGGUCAGCUGGGCAGAAGCCUUUGUGAUCGGGGUUGGCUGGGAUUGCGAAGAUCAGUGUUAAAAUCAACUGUGCAACUUGGUAGGUGACUCUGAACUACUAGUUUUUCAUUCUUUACCCUUCUCAGUGUAUCUGAUUAUUCGUCUACUUACAUGCAGUGCUUGUAACCUGCCCCAGUCCCAUAGGACUGGAGAGUGUAUAACAUCAAAGGAAAACAUAUUUGAAAUAAAAAUGAAGUACAGAUCAAUAUCAAAGAAAAAAAUAAAAGAAUAUAAGGAAAA